AUUGGAGCUAAACCUUAACUACAUAAGUGUUUUGCUAAGAAGAGCAGAGGUGUAUGAAAAGUUGUAACAAUUUGAAGAGACUAUAGCAGAUAUGACAAAGGUUUUGGAAGUUGACCCAUCAUAUGAUCAAGCUAGAAGACAGAUUGUUCGCUUGAAGCCAUUAGCAGAUGAAAAACGUCAAAAGAUGAAGGAAGAAAUGAUUGUUGACCAUUGGUGGUAUGAACUUCUUUGGGUAGUUGCUGUUAAAUGAUUCUUUUUUGCUCUUCACGUGUAAAUAUAGGAAUGCUUCAUUUUUGCAAAAGAAAAUGUGUUCUAGGGGAGAAGAGUGGAGGAGGAGGAGAGGAUCUGGAAUUUUUGCAAAAGUAAAAGGAGCUAGUGUGAGCUGAGGUGGCUAGUGCAUUCGGAAGAUUCUGGAGGAAGGGGAAGGUUAAUGUGAGCAGAUAAAGCUUUGCUUCAGGUGCUGCUAAAGAAUAGAUGCUUGUGGAAGUGGACAAACGAUUACUGAGAUUAGCACAAGGAUGGUUUAAGGGAAAUGUAAGCUGAGGGAAAUUGGAAAUUGCAAUUCUGGUCAAUUUGGAAUGAGCGCUGACAAUUUCAAAGCUGUGAAAGAUCCAAACACUGGUUCAUAUUCUAUUCCAUUUCAGUGCUAAUAUCUUUUACAAACUUCACAUAUAUUCUUUAGUUUCUGGAGCUAUGGAUCAAAUGGACUGAAAUCUUAAAGAGGAUGAAGCACGUUUCCUCACAGUGUUGAUCUCAGUCGUAUGAUUAUGUUUUUACAUAUAACUUGAGAAAAAGAAAUUGAUGUGGUUUUUUGCCAUAAUAUGUUAUAAACAGACUUAAAGUUUCACUUUACUGGAAGUUUCUUAUAGUUGCUUUAGUACUUUCCAUUUCUUCGUGGUGUUGUCCAUGGUUUUGAUACUGUUUUGGAGGGCAUCUGAAGGUGCAGCAUAAUUUAUGCUAUCAACGUCUUUGUCAUGAUCUGUUCGGAGAGUAGCAUAGAAAUGUAGAACCUUGCACGCAAACAGGGAGAGAGUCCACCUCCUCUUCCCACCCAUCCCAAAAAAGGGUAAAUUCUGACUAGAUAUCAUAUCAUAGCCACACUAAAAGUGUGUAAGCUCGGAUGAACACUGAAAUGGUCUGGUUACUCCGUAAUUUUCAUGAACUCUGGGGGUGUUUGUUGGUUGCAUGAUUUUUGGGCGGCUUGGGGAUAUGUGGGCGCAGACAGCCUCAUUGAAUCGGGUGCACACUCCUUCCUUUGCCUUCUCUCUCUCUUCCUUGCUCUUAAUUUCAAUCCUUGCUCUCUUCUAAUUACCACUUUCUUUCCUGCUCUUCUAAUUACCGGACCAAUUUCUCCCCUUCGCUUGCUUACACCUUGCAGCACAACUCAGGAAUCAAGUUAAUUCUUGAAAAAUUGAAACUUGCGGAAGAAAGGCAAAUGGAAGGAAGGGACUCACUUUGGUAUCUCUGAACAGGUGGUUGACUACAAGGUCUCUUUCUGCAUGAUUAAAAUACAUACAAAUACCAAUAAACUCUUGACAAUGGAAAGACGUAACUGACGAGAGGUACUGAGGGAGAGGUUGGAAAGAGGAAGCUCUAUUGAAUAUUCCACCCAAUUUGUAGAUUGUAAGUGCCAUGUGGCAGCCCCAGGCUCGAGUUGAUUAUGUUGGUGUCACUGAACCUCCAUGGCCUUCCUCCUUGUGAAGCUAAUGCUAUUGAAUCUUCUCUCUUUUGGUUUUGGUCAUUGAUUUCAAUUUGAACUGUGUUUUUUAGGUAAUGUUUUGGUAUUUAUGCUUUAUUUUGUUCAAAAUGGAAACUUUGAAAUGAUCUUUGCUACAACCUAAAAUAUUUUGGGGUCGGGAUUAUCCAGGAAUUUAACCCUUUUCAUAUGAGUUCAAUUUGAGGGAAUUUAACUAUACAUUCCAUGCUUAUUGUUCAACCUGCUUUGAUGUAUACUUCAUUUAUAAUAUGGGAGAGCUGCAUUACCCAGCUAUUCCACUUUGGAUUGGGCAAGGAUGAAUGGACAGUUGAUAAAAGCCAUUUCUCCACGAGUUAUGGAAACAUAUUGAUAUGCAGCAUUACGGUAUCUAGGUACUCCUAAGAACGCUUUUCAUGUCCCAUAUGCAGUUUUGUGCUCUUGAUCUCAUUUUAUUAUGGCCCAACCUGCAAUUCUAUUUUGUUUUAAAAUUGAGUCAACAUAGUCCAGUUAUAGUGUAAAUGAGAGCCAUUUUGGGGCUGUUUUAUUACCAUUUCAAUGAGAUAGUGGAGUUAGUCUUGAGUUGGUAGGAGCUAUUGGAUAUCCUUGCCUUUCAAUGUUGGACAUUGAUUUUGUUUGUUAAGUCCGUUAAAACUUAAAACAGAGCAUCAAGCUCUCCUGCUUAUAGCAAUUCCUUACUUAUUUUAGUGCCUCUGUUUUCCAUCUUCUACAGCCUUCUAUCUUGUUUCUUUGAGGAGACUACCGAUGUAUUUCUUUCCAAGAAAACAUGCAACUCUAAACUCUCUUUCCUGCAGCAAAAGAAAAAGACAACUUAGAUAUCUAGAGAAAAGAUUAUUAUUGGGAAUUGAGAAGUUUACCACCCUCUGCUGCAAUCUCCUCUCUGAGAUAUCGGUGAAUAUCUACAUUCCUCUCUCAUCCCUCUUGAAUAUGCUGGAAUAUAGCAAACCAUUUAGGUUUUUGAUCUAUUUCAGUCAUUGUAUUUUCUCUAUGUAUUCAGUAGCUUCAGUUACUCAGUUAAAUCGGCUUUUGGUAAUAUUCAUUUGAUUGUGUAUUAGGUCCAGUAAAGAAUGCUAUUGGUGUAAGGAUGAUUAAAUCGAAAUCUUUGUGUCGCUUUCA